UUAGAGUUUGAUCCUGGCUCAGGAUGAACGCUAGCGACAGGCCUAACACAUGCAAGUCGAGGGGCAGCGGGGGUAGCAAUACCUGCCGGCGACCGGCGCACGGGUGCGUAACGCGUAUGGAACCUGGCCUACACAGCGGGAUAGCCUCUCGAAAGGGAGAUUAAUACCGCAUACAAUGUUGGUUAUGCAUGUAACUGACAUGAAAGAUUCAUCGGUGUAGGAUGGCCAUGCGUGACAUUAGGUAGACGGCGGGGUAACGGCCCACCGUGCCGACGAUGUCUAGGGGUCCUGAGAGGGAGGUCCCCCAUACUGGUACUGAGACAGGGACCAGACUCCUACGGGAGGCAGCAGUGAGGAAUAUUGGUCAAUGGUCGGAAGACUGAACCAGCCAAGUCGCGUGAAGGAUGACGGCCCUAUGGGUUGUAAACUUCUUUUGCCGGGGGAUAAACCUGGCCACGUGUGGCCAGCUGAAGGUACCCGGUGAAUAAGCAUCGGCUAACUCCGUGCCAGCAGCCGCGGUAAUACGGAGGAUGCGAGCGUUAUCCGGAUUUAUUGGGUUUAAAGGGUGCGCAGGCGGGCCUUUAAGUCAGCGGUGAAAUCCCGUAGCUCAACUACGGAACUGCCGUUGAUACUGGAGGCCUUGAGUCGUGUCGAGGAUGGCGGAAUGCAGCGUGUAGCGGUGAAAUGCUUAGAUAUGCUGCAGAACUCCGAUUGCGAAGGCAGCUGUCCAGAGACGAACUGACGCUGAGGCACGAAAGCAUGGGUAUCAAACAGGAUUAGAUACCCUGGUAGUCCAUGCAGUAAACGAUGAGCGCUCGCGGUUUGGGAGUUAUUCUGAGCCGCUUAGCGAAAGCGUUAAGCGCUCCACCUGGGGAGUACGCCGGCAACGGUGAAACUCAAAGGAAUUGACGGGGGCCCGCACAAGCGGAGGAACAUGUGGUUUAAUUCGAUGAUACGCGAGGAACCUUACCCGGGCUUGAAAUGCAGACGACAUGGGGAGAGACCCCCAUUCCUGGCAACAGGCGUCUGUGUAGGUGCUGCAUGGUUGUCGUCAGCUCGUGCCGUGAGGUGUCGGCUUAAGUGCCAUAACGAGCGCAACCCUCGCCUCCAGUUGCCAGCGGGCAAAGCCGGGGACUCUGGAGGGACUGCCAACGCAAGUUGCGAGGAAGGUGGGGAUGACGUCAAAUCAGCACGGCCCUUACGUCCGGGGCUACACACGUGUUACAAUGGGCGGGACAGAGUGAAGCCAGGCGGUGACGCCGAGCCGAUCAUGAAACCCGCCCCUAGUUCGGACUGGAGUCUGCAACCCGACUCCACGAAGCUGGAUUCGCUAGUAAUCGCGCAUCAGCCAUGGCGCGGUGAAUACGUUCCCGGGCCUUGCACACACCGCCGGUCA
rnacentral:rRNA from 1 species